AGUGAACGCUGGCGGUAGGCCUAACACAUGCAAGUCGAACGGCAGCACAGUAAGAGCUUGCUCUUACGGGUGGCGAGUGGCGGACGGGUUAGGAAUACAUCGGAAUCUACUUUUUCGUGGGGGAGAACGUAGGGAAACUUACGCUAAUACCGCAUACGACCUACGUGUGAAAGCAGGGGAUCUUCGCGCCUUGCGCGAUUGAAUGAGCCGAUGUCGGAUUAGCUAGUUGGCGGGGUAAAGGCCCACCAAGGCGACGAUCCGUAGCUGGUCUGAGAGGACGAUCAGCAACACUGCAGAGAGGACGAGCUCCCGGCUUCGGAGGGAGGCAGCGGUGGGGAACCUUCGAGAAGGGGCGGACGCGUAAUUCAGCCAUACGGCGUGGGUGAAGAAGGCCUUCGCCUCGUAAAGCCUUUUGGUCGGGAGAGAAAAGCAGCAGGUUGAUACCCCGCUGUUCUGACGGUACCCGCAGAUUAAGCACCGGCUAACUUGGU
rnacentral:rRNA from 1 species